UACGUAGGGGGCAAGCGUUGUCCGGAUUUAUUGGGCGUAAAGAGCUCGUAGGCGGCUUGUCGCGUCGACUGUGAAAACCCGUGGCUCAACCAUGUGGUCUGCAGUCGAUACGGGCAGGCUAGAAUUCGGUAGGGGAGACUGGAAUUCCUGGUGUAGCGGUGAAAUGCGCAGAUAUCAGGAGGAACACCUAUGGCGAAGGCAGCUCGCUGGGACGUUACUGACGCUGAGACGCGAAAGCGUGGGGAGCAAACAGG
rnacentral:rRNA from 1 species